rnacentral:rRNA from 1 species
UGGGGAAUAUUGGACAAUGGGCGCAAGCCUGAUCCAGCCAUGCCGCGUGAGUGAUGAAGGCCCUAGGGUUGUAAAGCUCUUUCACCGGUGAAGAUAAUGACGGUAACCGGAGAAGAAGCCCCGGCUAACUUCGUGCCAGCAGCCGCGGUAAUACGAAGGGGGCUAGCGUUGUUCGGAUUUACUGGGCGUAAAGCGCACGUAGGCGGACUUUUAAGUCAGGGGUGAAAUCCCGGGGCUCAACCCCGGAACUGCCUUUGAUACUGGAAGUCUUGAGUAUGGAAGAGGUGAGUGGAAUUCCGAGUGUAGAGGUGAAAUUCGUAGAUAUUCGGAGGAACACCAGUGGCGAAGGCGGCUCACUGGUCCAUUACUGACGCUGAGGUGCGAAAGCGUGGGGAGCAAACAGG